UACGAAGGGGGCUAGCGUUGCUCGGAAUCACCGGGCGUAAAGGGUGCGUAGGCGGGUCUUUAAGUCAAGGGUGAAAUCCUGGAGCUCAACUCCAGAACUGCCUUCGAUACUGGAGAGCUUGAGUCCGGGAGAGGUGAGUGGAACUGCGAGUGUAGAGGUGAAAUUCGUAGAUAUUCGCAAGAACACCAGUGGCGAAGGCGGCUCACUGGCCCGGUACUGACGCUGAGGUGCGAAAGCGUGGGGAGCAAACAGG
rnacentral:rRNA from 1 species